rnacentral:lncRNA from 1 species
CGCUCACUCUGUGUGCUCAUACGUCUCCAUCACACUCUAUGUGCUCACACGUCUCCAUCAUGUUCACUUUGUGUGCUCACACGUCUCCAUCACACUCACUCUGCUCUCAUGUCUCCGUCACACUCACUCUGUGUGCUCACACGUCUCCAUCACGCUCAGUCUAUGUGCGCACAUGUCUCCAUCAUGUUCACUCUGUGUGCUCACAGCACAUCUCCAUUAUGUUCACUCUGUGUGCUCACACGUCUCCAUCACACUCAGUCUGCUCACACGUCUCCAUCACGCUCACUCUGCUCUCAUGUCUCCAUCACAUUCACUCUGUGUGCUCACACGUCUCCAUCACACUCACUCUGCUCUCAUGUCUCCAUCACGCUCACUCUGUGUGCUCAUACGUCUCCAUCACACUCUGUGUGCUCACAGCACAUCUCCAUCAUGUUCACUCUGUGUGCUCACAUGUCUCCAUCACACUCAGUCUAUGUGCUCACACGUCUCCAUCACGUUCACUCUGUGCUCACACGUCUCCAUCACACUCACUCUGUGUGCUCACACGUCUCCAUCACGCUCACUCUGUGCGCUCACAGCACAUCUCCAUUAUGUUCACUUUGUGUGCUCACACGUCUCCAUCACGCUCACUCUGCUCACAUGUGUCCAUCACGCUCACUCUGCUCUCAUGUCUCCAUCACAUUUACUCUGUGUGCUCACGUCUCCAUCACACUCACUCUGUGUGCUCACACGUCUCCAUCAUGCUCACUCUGCUCACGUCUCCAUCACGCUCACUCUGCGUGCUCACACAUCUCUAUCAUGCUCACUCUGCUCACAUGUCUCCCUCACACUCACUCUGUGUGCUCACACGUCUCCAUCAUGCUCACUCUGCUCACAUGUGUCCAUCACGCUCACUCUGCGUGCUCACAUGUCUCUAUCAUGCUCACUCUGCUCACAUGUCUCCCUCACACUCACUCUGUGUGCUCACACACCUCUAUAGAUGGGUUUGA